GACGAACGCUGGCGGCGUGCUUAACACAUGCAAGUCGAACGGAAAGGCCCUGCUUUUGUGGGGUGCUCGAGUGGCGAACGGGUGAGUAACACGUGAGUAACCUGCCCUUGACUUUGGGAUAACUUCAGGAAACUGGGGCUAAUACCGGAUAGGAGCUCCUGCUGCAUGGUGGGGGUUGGAAAGUUUCGGCGGUUGGGGUUGGACUCGCGGCUUAUCAUCUUGUUGGUGGGGUAGUGGCUUACCAAGGCUUUGACGGGUAGCCGGCCUGAGAGGGUGACCGGCCACAUUGGGACUGAGAUACGGCCCAGACUCCUACGGGAGGCAGCAGUGGGGAAUAUUGCACAAUGGGCGGAAGCCUGAUGCAGCAACGCCGCGUGCGGGAUGACGGCCUUCGGGUUGUAAACCGCUUUCGCCUGUGACGAAGCGUGAGUGACGGUAAUGGGUAAAGAAGCACCGGCUAACUACGUG
rnacentral:rRNA from 1 species